UACGUAGGGGGCAAGCGUUGUCCGGAUUUAUUGGGCGUAAAGGGCACGCAGGCGGUCUUGCGCGUUUCGAGUGACAGGUGGUGGCUUAACUGCCACAGGCCUCGGAAAACGGCAAGACUUGAGGACUUCAGAGGGACGCGGAAUUCCAGGUGGAGCGGUGAAAUGCGUAGAUAUCUGGAGGAACACCGGUGGCGAAGGCGGCAUCCUGGACCGGCAUUGACGCUGAGGCGCGAAAGCCAGGGGAGCAAACGGG
rnacentral:rRNA from 1 species